AGGCAAGAUGUAGGCAUAGCUGCACUGUGUUAGGUUACAGCUGUUCCUCAUCAAGCCACC
rnacentral:pre_miRNA from 1 species